AUCACCCAACCAGCCUUACCUCCAUCUUCCUCUGCAACCAUCGCCACCAGUCCAUCAGCAUACACUCCACCACCACCACUAUCACCCUACCCUUAUUUCCUAGGUUUAGAAUUCUUUCCCUCGGCUAAAACACCCACCCACACCCACCUCCGCCCAUCGCCUCCUUCGAUCAACACAAACACCGCCUUGGCAUGCGUCCAUUAGACCCACAUCAUCCCUCGAUCUAUUUCCGCCACCUAUGUCAUAAUCAAAUCACCUCCAUCGCCGGCGACAUUUUUUUUGUGUGAAUUAUAAUAGUGUUGUUGAGAUGAUUUUUCUUCCUUCCAAAACUACUGCCGUUAAUUAUGAUGGAUGUUCUUAACUGACAAAGGCUACAACUUCUUGGUGUAUCAUCGAUGCUCAUUGUUGCGUUAAGUGUUUGGAUUUUUAUUAUUUGGUUUGGAUAUUUUGUGAUAUGGAUGUUGAUUGUGAUUAACUGAUUAUUUUUUCUGGGGAAAAUAGGAAAUAUGAAGAAAUUAGCUCCACUACAUACUGAAGUUUUUUGUUCUUUUACGGAUAAUACAUACACAAAGCAAGAAGUAGUGAAAAUGGAAGCUGAUGUGCUUAAAGCUCAAAAUCGACAACGAAUUUGCACUUGGAGUUUUUAGGAUAUUAUUGGCUCCUUUGGUAGUGAACAACCAAGAAUGCAUAUAUGCACUCCGUGAAACGUCUAAAUGAAACCAAGAUACAUGAAGACCAAAAAAUGGAGAUAACCAAAUCUGGUACAGAAGAUGCAGAUGUAAGCAAGCAACUCAUAAACCCAAUGCUACAAACUUAUUGAUUAUGGUCCACCAGUUUUCUAUGUUAUAUUGUGGUAAAGAUUGCCCAUUUAGUUGUCUUUUGGUUUCAGAUUUAUUAAGAGGGCUUCCAUUGACUGCACUCAUUAGCAUGACUAAUAGUACUUUCAAACCAAACAGCCAAAAGCCAUUAGUGGACAUUAUGGAUUACAAGUUACUAAAAACCGCAACAAAUGAUUUCCAAGAAAGUGAAACAUAGGCUCUGGUGGAUUCGGAUGUAUAAAGGUCAACUCGGUGAAAAGUCAUUCGUUGCGGUGAUAAGUGGGUAGCUUUUGCGGAUCUGAAGCUUGCCCAAGUAAAGUCGUGGACAUUGAGAUCCUUGAUGAAAUUUUCGUGGUGAUCGUAUAGAAAUUCUCCAUAUGAGAUUUCAUAUCAGCUACCAAAUGGGAGUGAAGGGGACCAGCCAAGUUCGAGAAAGAAUGAUUCUUCAUAAAAAGAACAUGUUAUCAUCAAGUGUGAACUUAGAAGUUAUUUGGCUGCUACUCUCUAUAAAUACAAAGUUAAGAAAAAAACUGCUGCAUAACUUGACUAGCCAAGGAUUUCUCUUAAAGUCACUUUUCGUGUUUGUUUUGUUAUCAUUCAUCACAAAUAUGUUUUCAUUGGUUUUCUAUUUCUUACAUAAAUAGAACGGAAACGGAUGCUACAAUGCGCAUGUCCUUUAUUAUAGUCAGAUAAAGAGUAUUAGUGGAGCUGUGUUUUUUAUAGUUGUA